CACAAUCGAGUACCAACCGUCUCCCGAGUUCACUUGGCCAGAGACGGUCCACAGCGAACCUGCUGAGCUGCUUCUCCACUUCGCGAGGCCGCAGCCUCAGGGCUCUAGGCAGAAAAACUACCUGUGAAAGACUGAGAAGACGGCUGACUCCAUCCAGGGGCCGCAGGCCACACUGCAGCAGCCACACGCCUGUCACAGACACCCCAGGGACGGUCUCCAGGGGAGUGACCACCCGUGACCUGUCAAAAUCAAGAAGCUGCAAGAGUCCUGAAGAGUUUUCUGAGAAGGGACCCAAAGGAACGAUUGGGUUGUCAUCCUCAAAGGGGCUUUGCUGAUGUUCAGGAGCAUCCCUCCUUUCAAAAUGUUGACUGGAACAUGAUGGACUGAAAGCAACUCGUGCCUCCCUUUAAACCAAAUAUGUCUGAGGAAUUCAGUUUGGACAACUUCGAUUCUCAGUUUACUGAUGAACCUGUCCAACUCAUCCCAGAUGAAAAUGACAUCAUGAGGAAAAUGGAAGGAUAUGAAUUUGCAGGUUUUGAGUAUAACAAUCAUCUUUCAAUGUAUGAAGAAGAAUGGGUCUGAUCCUCAUUUUUCAACUAUGCAUUCUGGUUAUUACUAUUUAAUGCUUGGGAAAAACUUGUUAUCAGCCUGGAUUCAAUGAACCACUUCAUAACUGUCUAGCAGCUAAUUGUAAUUUAUUUUUUGUAUUUGUAUUUAGAUGUAAUAUUUGAUUCUUACAGUCUAUAAUAGGGAAUAUUGAAUGGUUUUGUUGAUAAAUGGAAACAUAUUCCAUUUGUUGAGUGGUG
rnacentral:lncRNA from 1 species